CCUCCGGUUUCCUCUCCUCCUCCUCUUCCUCCUUCUUCUCCUCCUCCUCUUCUUCCUCCUCCUCUUUUCCAACCUCCUCCCCCUCAGCCACCGCCUCCUCCUCCACCACCACCACUCCCUCCGGGGCACCCGGGUCCCUGCAGAGUCCCGGGCCCGCACCGCCUCCACUGCAGCCCCCUGGAUCCCGAGCCUGCUGCACUGGAGCUUGUAGGAACGACCGACAGGCAGAUUGCUCGCGCUCAGCGCUCCACCGCAGCUGCACCCGGCGGCUCUGCGUCUGGGGAGCUGGGAUCGCCCCGGGAGCACGGCGAGGGUCCCAGCUCUGCCACCAGGCAGAUGGCUCAACCUCCUCCCGUGCCUCAGCUUCUCCUUCUCUAAAUGGAACAGUAACAGUUACUCUUGUUCUUCCCUGAGAUAAAUGAUCCUCAAGGUCAGCUGAGGAAGUGGGAGGGUAAACCCUUUGGGAAACUGAUUGGAUGAGCCAAUUGGAUGAUUACCCCAGCUGGCCAGGGUCACCACCCAAACAGUUCCUAGGUGUGGACAAUCUCUGAAGAUGGGUGAAGAUGCUUUUCUACUUUUGACAAUAAUGGUACCAUUGCUGGGUGUGCUCCACAAGUGGCAGAGAAGGGAGUGUCCUUAGAUCUGAGCCAAAGGGAUCAAGGUGGGUAAGCAGACCUAUGUCAAUCUAUCCAAGACUUAACGAAUAGCCAAGGAUGUGAGAAUCUGGAAAAUGAUAACCUGACUGGGGGGAGGGGUGAAGAAUCCAUUCUCUAGGGACAAUUCAAUUCCUAUCAAACAAAACAGACUAUGUAAAAACCAGCCCAAAAUAAAGCAUUGUAAUGUAAACCAGUCUGUGCAUUUAAAAAAAUCUUCUGACUUCUGUAAUUCUUGAACACUUAACCUUUUGUUGCUAUUGUUGAGAACAACUAAAAUUGAGUAUGUCAAAAAGACAAUAGGUUAGUUUUAAGUUUAAUUUUUUAUUAACAAUUGCUGUUAAAUUAAAUUCAAACACAUCACCCACUCCUUCAUAGCUCCCUGUGGAGACCACCCUCACCCACGGUGGGGACUACUCACAAGAUAUUUCUGCUCUCUUCUGAGUAUGCAAGGAUUUUGCCUUCCUGCCUGUCAAAGGUGUGGCCAUGAAGCUUUGGACCAUGACAGAAACUUCAGGCCGGCAUGCAAUCUGCUCCAUCUUCUCCAUCUUCUUGUGGAUGCAGGUAUCUCGAUGAAGCCGUCACAGGUCCCAAAGUGUUAUGACCUGCAGACCCACAACGGUUGGCGCUGUGGACUGAAUGUGGCUUGCCUCCUCCCAAGCUCUUGUGGAAUUUGGAGGUCACUGGGGGUAGCGUUGGGAGGUGGGGCGUUUAAAGGGCGAUCAGGUGAAGAUCGAGUCACUCCUUUCUCAAAGGAGAGGGUUAAUUCUCAGGUGGAGGGAGUUAUCGGGAAAGUGAUAAGUGACUGGUUUCCUUGGCUUUUCUCUCAUCCUCUUUUACCACGUGAUUCCUUCUGGCCUCCCACCAUGUUAUAACUCAGCACACGAACGUGAUACAUGAAGCCAAGCCAGCUGCUACCAUGUUCUUGGACUCCCAGCUUCCAAAAUCAUGGAGAAAAAUAAAAUUUUUUUCUUUUAUAA